UUUCUCUCUUUACAGAACUGUUUUGAGCAGGUAGUUUCUGCUUGGAAAGGCUGCUGUUUUGGUUACAGAAUUUGCAUUUCCUUCUCUGAAUAAGGUUUCCAGCUGUCCUUCACAAUCAUACUGGACAAUCUGGCCACACUGCUAAGCCUUUCCAGACCAUCGGAUCUCUCAACCUGAUACUUUCUAGCUGCUGAUGCCAGAAGAUUCCUGCCCAAGCACUGGGUGAGUUCCUCCCCUUCCUGCUGGAGGAAGCAUCAAAGGCA